AGCUAGGAUCUAUUCGGAGGAUUCUCAAGGGGGCGGAGCAUUUACGAUUAGCAAAGGUUUGGGAGAAAUAGUAAGUGGCCACGAGGAAUUACUGAACGGAGUAGAUUUGGCUGCUGCAGCAGAAGAAAAGGAAACACAUUCUUUUGAAAUAGAUCCAUCUCAGGUUGAGAAUGUCAAGCAACGUUGCUUGCCAAAUGCCUUAAACUAUCCUAUGCUGGAGGAGUAUGACUUCAGGAAUG
rnacentral:misc_RNA from 1 species